rnacentral:rRNA from 1 species
UACACUCCUACGGGAGGCAGCAGUGAGGAAUAUUGGACAAUGGGUGGAAGCCUGAUCCAGCCAUCCCGCGUGCAGGAAGACGGCCCUAUGGGUUGUAAACUGCUUUUAUCUGGGGAUAAACCUACUUACGUGUAAGUAGCUGAAGGUACCAGAAGAAUAAGCACCGGCUAACUCCGUGCCAGCAGCCGCGGUAAUACGGAGGGUGCAAGCGUUAUCCGGAUUUAUUGGGUUUAAAGGGUCCGUAGGCGGACUGAUAAGUCAGUGGUGAAAUCCGACAGCUUAACUGUCGAACUGCCAUUGAUACUGUUAGUCUUGAGUAAGGUUGAAGUGGCUGGAAUAAGUAGUGUAGCGGUGAAAUGCAUAGAUAUUACUUAGAACACCAAUUGCGAAGGCAGGUCACUAAGUCUUAACUGACGCUGAUGGACGAAAGCGUGGGGAGCGAACAGGAUUAGAAACCCUAGUAGUCCCAUG